rnacentral:rRNA from 1 species
UACGUACCGUCCAAACGUUAUUCGGAAUUACUGGGCUUAAAGGGUAUGUAGGCGGCGCUGUUAGUCGGGUGUGAAAUCCCACGGCUCAACCGUGGAAUUGCGCCCGAUACUGCAGUGCUUGAGGGAGACAGAGGUAAGCGGAACUGAUGGUGGAGCGGUGAAAUGCGUUGAUAUCAUCAGGAACACCGGUGGCGAAAGCGGCUUACUGGGUCUCUUCUGACGCUGAGAUACGAAAGCCAGGGGAGCGAACAGG